GAGUUUGAUCCUGGCUCAGGACGAACGCUGGCGGUGCGCCUAACACAUGCAAGUCGAACGAGCGAGAGAGAGCUUGCUUUCUCAAGCGAGUGGCGAACGGGUGAGUAACGCGUGAGUAACCUGCCCUGGAGUGGGGGACAACAGUUGGAAACGACUGCUAAUACCGCAUAAGCCCACGAUCCGGCAUCGGAUUGAGGGAAAAGGAGCAAUCCGCUUUGAGAUGGCCUCGCGUCCGAUUAGCUAGUUGGUGAGGUAACGGCCCACCAAGGCGACGAUCGGUAGCCGGACUGAGAGGUUGAACGGCCACAUUGGGACUGAGACACGGCCCAGACUCCUACGGGAGGCAGCAGUGGGGAAUAUUGCACAAUGGGGGAAACCCUGAUGCAGCGACGCCGCGUGAAGGAAGAAGUAUCUCGGUAUGUAAACUUCUAUCAGCAGGGAAGAUAAUGACGGUACCUGACUAAGAAGCCCCGGCUAACUACGUGCCAGCCGCCGCGGUAAUUC
rnacentral:rRNA from 1 species